rnacentral:rRNA from 1 species
CCUACGGGAGACAGCAGUGAGGAAUAUUGGUCAAUGGGCGCUAGCCUGAACCAGCCAAGUAGCGUGAAGGAUGACUGCUCUAUGGGUUGUAGACUUCUUUUAUAUGGGAAUAAAGUGCAGUAUGCAUACUGCAUUGCAUGUACCUUAUGAAUCAGGAUCGGCUAACUCCGUGCCAGCAGCCGCGGUAAUACGGAGGGUUCGAGCGUUAUCCGGACUUAUUGGGUUUAAAGGGAGCGUAGGCGGGUUGUUAAGUCAGUUGUGAAAGUUAGCGGCUCAACCGUAAAGUUGCAGUUGAUACUGGCAUCCUAGAGUGCAGUAGAGGUAGACGGAAUUCGUGGUGUAGCGGUGAAAUGCUUAGAUAUCAGGAAGAACUCCGAUUGCGAAGGCAGCCUGCUGGACUGUAACUGACGCUGAGGCUCGAAAGUGUGGGUAGCAAACAGGAUUAGAUACCCGAGUAGUC